ACCAAGAACCACACAGAAAAGGGAGGCAAAGGGGCCUACAGGGCUAGUAGCUUAUACGUUGUUGAACGUCCUGCCUGGACCCGGAGCCGCCCCCAUCUAAACCCUCUGCGUACCUGUCCCUUCUUGCUUCCCCCGGCAUCUCGUCGGGGGGAGGUAACAACCAAAACUCUCUGUGAAUCAAACAGCCGUCAGAAUUAUAAAACAAACAAAAGUUAAAACUUUCAACAACGGAUCUCUUGGUUCCCACAUCGAUGAAGAACGCAGCGAAAUGCGAUAAGUAAUGUGAAUUGCAGAAUUCAGUGAAUCAUCGAAUCUUUGAACGCACAUUGCGCCCCCUGGUAUUCCGGGGGGCAUGCCUGUUCGAGCGUCAUAAAAACCUCCUCCCCCUUCGGGUUUUGUUACUAUCGUUGGGGGGUUUUGGCCUAAUGGGAUAGCGAUUGGCAAUUCGUUUCCCAAUGUCCUAAAUAGACGUAGACCCGCCUCCAGAUGCGACAGCACCGAGGCCAUCAACCGUGGAGUUAUGGGAUAUAAUAGGCUUGCAGUAAAAUGCUCACCUCUCUCCACACGCCGAUGGCACGACAGUUGCAGUUGCGGGCGUAAAUUGGAGCCCUUUUCAGGACCCUUGUGGCCUAGCAUCCACCAUACAUAAUU
rnacentral:rRNA from 1 species